rnacentral:rRNA from 1 species
AUGGAUGACAUGCUUGGCGUCUAUUGCUGUAACAAGGCUGCGGAAGUUGUUGAUAUAUGGGUGUUGCCAAACUACGAAAGUGAGGUUUGGGACUUGAAGUACUGGGUUGCAUUGCCGAUAGCAGAAAUCAGGGGAAAGCUUGAAGGCCAUGAUGGUGAGUGCUAUUGGUAUGUGACCGUUGCUUCGGGUGGUGGUGACGUGCUCUUGCUGGCCAGUUUUGGUCAUUCGCUGUUUUACAUUGACACUGAUGGCAAACUGGUUGCUAGCUUCCAAAACAUCUAUGCCUCUAGGCAUCGGCUCAAACAAACUCUUGUUCCGUAUGAUUUCUUCACACCAGUAGAAGGUCAUGCUGUCGACGCUUCACCUUUCAUCUGA